rnacentral:misc_RNA from 1 species
CGAAUCUGGAUAAGUGCA